rnacentral:rRNA from 1 species
CAGUCGCCGCGGUAAUACGUAGGUGGCAAGCGUUGCUCGGAAUUACUGGGCGUAAAGGGCGCGUAGGCGGACAGUUAAGUUGGGGGUGAAAGCCCGGGGCUCAACCUCGGAAUUGCCUUCAAUACUGGCUGUCUUGAGUACGGGAGAGGUGAGUGGAACUCCGAGUGUAGAGGUGAAAUUCGUAGAUAUUCGGAAGAACACCAGUGGCGAAGGCGACUCACUGGCCCGUUACUGACGCUGAGGCACGAAAGCGUGGGGAGCAAACAGGAUUAGAUACCCGGGUAGUCCCUGUCUCUUAUAC